UCACCAUAAGUCUUUAUUGUUUCUAGAUGGCACAAGUGCGUGGUGUACCCAGGGGAAUGUAUGAUGGCCCAGUGUACGACCUAGGAACCCCCAAAGCAGGAACCCCUUCAGCCUCAGCCAAGACAUCUCCUAGCAAACAGCCCCAACCAGUUCGAAAUCUACACCAGUCUGGUUUCAGCCUUUCAGGGCGACCCUACUGAUGGUUUUACAAAAUCUAAUGCAGGGGCACAAGUGGACGACGGCCCUCGACGCAGUGGUCACCGCAUCGUAGCGCCUCCUGGUGGACGCUCAAAUAUCACCUCACUCAGCUGAAGCUCAUGACAGGGAAAAAGAGAGGGGUGGGGGGAGAGAAGGAAGAAAUUGUGCUGUAAUGAUGACGUCUUGCAAAGAAAAGCAAAAUAAAAGAUAAUUGUGUUUGUCCUGCAAAAAACAAAAGAAAUAAAUGGUCACUCUGGAUUGAAUAUAAA